rnacentral:rRNA from 1 species
UGAGGAAUAUUGGACAAUGGGCGCAAGCCUGAUCCAGCCAUGCCGCGUGUAGGAAGACUGCCCUAUGGGUUGUAAACUACUUUUAUACAGGAAGAAUAAGGGGCACGUGUGCUCUGAUGACGGUACUGUAAGAAUAAGCACCGGCUAACUCCGUGCCAGCAGCCGCGGUAAUACGGAGGGUGCAAGCGUUAUCCGGAAUCAUUGGGUUUAAAGGGUCCGUAGGCGGGCUAGUAAGUCAGGGGUGAAAGUUUGCGGCUCAACCGUAAAAUUGCCUUUGAUACUGCUAGUCUUGAAUUGUUGUGCAGUGGUUAGAAUAAGUAGUGUAGCGGUGAAAUGCAUAGAUAUUACUUAGAAUACCGAUUGCGAAGGCAGAUCACUAACAACAUAUUGACGCUGAUGGACGAAAGCGUAGGUAGCGAACAGGAUUAGAUACCCCGGUAGUCC